rfam:Brassica napus, WGS project CCCW01000000 data, contig: 17638
AAUCCAUGGUGAGGACAUUCUCUGCAGUAGUCAUUGAAGUGCUCCCAUGCGUAGCAGAAAGGCUCAAUACUGAGCUGUCUGAAGGAGGUGAUCUUGUUCCUUAACGC